UACGUAGGUGGCAAGCGUUGCCCGGAAUUAUUGGGCGUAAAGCGCGCGCAGGCGGUCCUUUAAGUCUGAUGUGAAAGCCCACGGCUCAACCGUGGAGGGUCAUUGGAAACUGGGGGACUUGAGUGCAGAAGAGGAGAGUGGAAUUCCACGUGUAGCGGUGAAAUGCGUAGAGAUGUGGAGGAACACCAGUGGCGAAGGCGGCAUCCUGGCCCUGACCUGACGCUGAGGCGCGAUAGCGUGGGGAGCAAACGGG
rnacentral:rRNA from 1 species